GCCAAGAUAUUGGAACACCAUGGAAGUUUUUUGUCGUCUCGUGUCCCUGAAAUACAGCCAGAUCAACACUAAACCAUCCUGCACACCUGGAAACCUGAUUUGAGGAUUAACACAAUGAUCUGCACAACCUAAACCAGAGAACUCAGCAAGUAGAUG